rnacentral:rRNA from 1 species
UCCGGUUGAUCCUGCCGGAGGCCACUGCUAUGGGGGUCCGACUAAGCCAUGCGAGUCAUGGGGCGCCUUGCGCGCACCGGCGGACGGCUCAGUAACACGUCGGUAACCUACCCUCGGGAGGGGGAUAACCCCGGGAAACUGGGGCUAAUCCCCCGUAGGCCUGAGGUACUGGAAGGUCCUCAGGCCGAAAGGGUCUUUGACCGCCCGAGGAUGGGCCGGCGGCCGAUUAGGUAGUUGGUGGGGUAACGGCCCACCAAGCCGAAGAUCGGUACGGGCCAUGAGAGUGGGAGCCCGGAGAUGGACACUGAGACACGGGUCCAGGCCCUACGGGGCGCAGCAGGCGCGAAACCUCCGCAAUGCUCGAAAGAGCGACGGGGGGACCCCCAGUGCCGUGGCAUCGCCACGGCUUUUCCGGAGUGUAAAGAGCUCCGGGAAUAAGGGCUGGGCAAGGCCGGUGGCAGCCGCCGCGGUAAUACCGGCGGCCCGAGUGGUGGCCGCUAUUAUUGGGCCUAAAGCGUCCGUAGCCGGGCCAGUAAGUCCCUGGCGAAAUCCCACGGCUCAACCGUGGGGCUUGCUGGGGAUACUGCUGGCCUUGGGAC